GAUGAAGAACGUAGCGAAAUGCGAUAAGUAAUGUGAAUUGCAGAAUUCAGUGAAUCAUCGAAUCUUUGAACGCACAUUGCGCCCGCCAGUAUUCUGGCGGGCAUGCCUGUUCGAGCGUCAUUUCAACCAUCAAGCCCCGGGCUUGUGUUGGGGACCUGCGGCUGCCGCAGGCCCUGAAAUGCAGUGGCGGGCUCGCUGUCACUCCGAGCGUAGUAGUUACAUCUCGCUCUGGGCGUGCUGCGGGUUCCGGCCGUAAAAAGCCUUAUUUACCCAAGGUUGACCUCGGAUCAGGUAGGAAGACCCGCUGAACUUAAGCAUAUCAAUAAGCGGAGGA
rnacentral:misc_RNA from 1 species